CCUAUGCUUAGCUUAGUAGCCCUUGACGAAUUCCUUAAAAAGGAUCUUCCAGCCCCUCGCAUUUUUAGGUGAAAGCUUUUUGCCAUUGCGUAAUGCCUUUUUGCUUUCUGUAAAUUCAAGAUAAAGAUGAUUUUCGCUUAGCCCGCCCUUAGCUCUCAGUGUGAAGUCUUUGAUUGUUUAUUGCUUUCUCUAAUGCUAGCUCUCGAUUGAUAGAGUCUAGUCAAAAAAGGACCAACGACAAUGAAGGAGAAGAAGGAGCUUCUUUCAACUAUUAAGUGCUAUCUUUCUAAACUAAAAAAAAAGUCUUUCGCCUUAGUAAGCUAGCUUACUAAGCCCGGGUAGAACGUGGAUCGAUCAUGACGAGAAUGGACUUCUCCGUAAUGUAAUAGAAGAGUCACAGUCCCUUCUCGACCAGACGAAUUCCAUUCAGGCUUGGCUUGACCCUCCUAGAGGCGCAAAGUUCAUCAUUCAGUGUGGUGGGGCCUGGCAGAUUUGGAUGUUGGUAUCGUAUAUAAGAGAACGGCUGCAUUUAGGACAAUUUUCCCAAGGAAACCAUCAGGCACAUUUCGAUGUCACUUAUUAAAGCAAUAACCCCGCCUUCAGAAGAAGACUAGGUAGAAAAAGAUCUUCUUACCCGUAGUAGCAACAAUCAGGAACACUACUUCUAUAAGAUGAUUAUCGCCAUUUUCCUUACUAUAGGGGCAUUGACUUCAGUCUCAACUAGACCAAGACCCAAUAAAGCUUGAAAAAGCAGGAUUUCUUGAAUGGAAAGAACAAAACGGAAAGGACAACCAAACGAAACCGCUAACAGCAGAGGGCAGUAUCUAUAUAUAGUAGAGCUCGCUUACCAGACGAAACCAGGCCUUUAAGGCUGGAGUGGAAGGGAGAGUAGACCCGAGAGCUGCCAUAGUCAUUUUUAUUAUAGCACCAGCCCUUAUCGAGACAAGAGACCAUACAUUAACUAUGGCAAGAACAUUCAAUGCGAUCUCCCUUCCUCAAAGAAAGGAGAAGAAGUUAUCGAACAGUGUCUUAUAGAAAGAGUAUAAAUAACAUCGCCAAACAAAAGUCAAUCAACGAAGCCGGUAAGGAACGGAAUUUACAAAAUGCACCAGUGAAAAAAUAAAAGAUUUUUUGUGUUUCGCAAUGAAUCCCCUUUGCUUUCUCUAUUUAUAGAGUAAGCGCGAGGGUUGCGUAGCGAAAUGUAGUAGAAAUACAGCAUUGGACAGCAAUCAUGAGGCAAUGACAUUCUCGAUGAAAGCAAAGAGUUGACCUGGGAGCCCUCAACUGAAUGCGCCUUACCGG
rnacentral:lncRNA from 1 species